UAUAUACACAUAUAUACGUAUAUAUACAUACAGUAUAUACAUGUAUAUACAUAUAUACAAAUAUAUACAUAUAUUCAUGUAUAUACACAUAUACAUACAUAUAUACCCAUAUACAUAUAUACAGCCCAACCCCCAACCAGAUAGUUUCAACCCAAUGCGGCCCCCCGUGUCAAAAAGUUUGGGCACCACUGCUUUAACGUCAGAGGUUUUAAUUAGUAUAAAAAUGCAAAUUUAUAGUAACUGAAAACGGUGACAUCAUUUGAUCAACAGGCCUUCAAAGGCUUAAAAAAUAAAUAAUACAAAUAUUGCAUGAUAGAGCUGAAGUUGAUUUGAGCAAAAAAAAAAGGAAAAAAUUAUAUAUAUUUAUGAAUCAAACCUUCUAAAGAUAGCGCAAAAGUGGCGUUUUGAAGUUGGAAGCCCAGUCCCUACUUAAACAUUAAUAAUGUAAAAAGGAAAGGAAUAGGGGUGUUCAUCUUGGGGCUCAUAACGAUUCGAUCCGAUCCCUGGGCUAACGAUUAGACUCAGAAUUGGAUUCACAGGCUUCUCAAUUUAAGCAGAUUCUGGCAAAUAAUUGUGAUUGAACAUUUUCCAAAAUGUAUUAUUUUAAAAAUAAUAAUUCCAUCCAUCCAUCCAUCAUCUUCCGCUUAUCCAAGGUCGGGUCGCGGGGGCAGCAGCCUAAGCAGGGAAGCCCAGACUUCCCUCUCCCCAGCCACUUUGUCUAGCUCUUCCCGGGGGAUCCCGAGGCGUUCCCAGGCCAGCCGGGAGACAUAGUCUUCCCAACGUGUCCUGGGUCUUCCCCGUGGCCUCCUACCGGUUGGACGUGCCCUAAACACCUCCCUAGGGAGGCGUUCGGGUGGCAUCCUGACCAGAUGCCCGAACAACCUCAUCUGGCUCCUCUCGAUGUGAAGGAGCAGCGGCUUUACUUUGAGUUCCUCCCGGAUGGCAGAGCUUCUCACCCUAUCUCUAAGGGAGAGACCUGGAAACUCAUUUGGGCCGCUUGUACCCGUGAUCUUAUCCUUUCGGUCAUGACCCAAAGCUCAUGACCAUAGGUGAGGAUGGGAACGUAGAUCGACCGGUAAAUUGAGAGCUUUGCCUUCCGGCUCAGCUCCUUCUUCACCACAACGGAUCGGUACAACGUCCGCAUUACUGAAGACGCCGCACCGAUCCGCCUGUCGAUCUCACGAUCCACUCUUCCCUCACUCGUGAACAAGACUCCUAGGUACUUGAACUCCUCCACUUGGGGCAGGGUCUCCUCCCCAACCCGGAGAUGGCACUCCACCCUUUUCCGGGCGAGAACCAUGGACUCGGACUUGGAGGUGCUGAUUCUCAUUCCGGUCGCUUCACACUCGGCUGCGAAAUUGCAAUAUUUUUUUUAUCGAUUUCUAAAAGUAAUGAUUAAAUUCAGAAAAAGGUUUAAUACGAAUCGGGAUUCGGAUGUGAAUUGAUGUGGAACCCAGAGCAAGGUGGUUGUAAGCAAACUACGACACACCAGAUAUUUGAAGCUUUUUCUAAAAAAGUUGCAAUUACUUACCCUCGUCAACUAUUACAUUUAUUAAGGACUCAUGUAGUUACUAAUGCAGUUACUUUUGGGGAAAGUAACCGCCAUGUUUUCAACAGGAUACUUCCUUCGCGGGAAAUUUAAAAUUGCAAUUUAGUAAACUAAAGCGGCCGUAUUGGCAUGUGUUGCAAUGUUAAUAUUUCAUCAUUGAUAUAUAAACUAAAACGGUGUUUCCUUGUUCAAAAUUCCUGAAAUUGAAGCUUUACUAUGAAUCAGAGCGGUCAAGUGAACGUGGAUUCCGACCACAUGUCAACAGUUUUCGGUGAGAAAAUUGUGGUAAUAAGUUGGCUCUUACCGGAGACAUCAGCGGAGCUUCCGUCAGACUGUGUGGUGGCUAGUAGUGGCUUUCAGUAGGCCUUUAAAAGCUUUGUGGAAAAGGGAACGGCUGAUGUCCGGGCAAAAGGGAAGGCACAAUAAGAAGUUUCCAUUCUAGUUUCAUUUUGAAGGAAUUCAUCCUUGCAAAGUCCACCCAUCAUCCUCCGUAUUGAAUCCUUUUUGUUCUUUCAUUUGUCUUAUUCAACAGUCGCUAUAAACUCCAGAAAUUAUCUUGGAGAGUCGUAUAUAUGUUUAUGUUUUACAAUGUUUACAUGUAUUUUAGUCCUUUUUUUUUUUUUAUCUCAAUGUGCUCGAUUAUGGCCAGAUACUGAUGAAGUGUGUUUAUUUCUUACAAUAUAUGCUCACAUUCUUGUAACUCAGUGGCGGUCCCAGCUUAAAUGGCGCCAUGUGCGAGACCCCUUUGUCGUCGUUGUCGUCAUCUCAUCCGCGUCAUGUGAGCUGUGUUGAUGGUGCACUGAGCACAGAUAAAUAGGAAUGGUUUUUUUUCCCCUUUAUCCUUGCGGCGCCCCCUAUAGAAUACCCAAACCCGCGGCUGCAUGUACUCUCCGAGUACAUAAGACUGUAGUAGACCUCCAUACAGGAAGUCACCGCCCUCCACUGUGAGUUUAGAGAGGUGCUGUCAUCGUGUUGAAUGAGUCAAAAGUGCAAGAAACGCCUUAUCGCCAAACUCAUACAGUCACAUGAUCUCUUCCCAGCAGGCACGAGACAUUGAUUCAGCGUUGAUACGUACAUGUCCUUUAAAUCUGACUUCCAAAUAACGUUGGAAAUGUUUGUGUAUUGAUGUCUUAACGUUGGAUGCCAAGUUGUUGGUUGGGAAAUGACCAACUUUUAACGGUUAAAUCAAGGUCACAACCUGAUUCUGAAUGGACAAUAAAUAAGUAUGUUGUUUCAACGUUGUAUUUGUGACUAUCGGUUGAAAAAUGACCACAAUUCAUGGUCAACUCAAGGUCACAACCAGACAUGGAUUAGAUGUCGUAAAAAAAUAUGUUUCGAUGUUAGGUUUGUGUUGUAGAAUAUUGGUUGGGAAAUCACCAAAUUUCAACGGUUAAAUCAAGGUCACAACCUGACAUUGUAUAAACAUUCAAAAGCAUGUUUCAACGUUGUGUUUGUGACUAUUGGUUGAAAAAUGACCACAAUUCAUGGUCAACUUAAGGUCACAACCUGACAUAGAUUAGACGUCUUAAAACGUAUGUUUCGAUGUUAGGUUUGUGUUGUAGAAUAUUGGUUGGGAAAUGACCAAAUUUCUACCGUUAAAUCAAGGUCACAACCUGACAUUGUAUAAACAUUCAAAAUAAUGUUGUUUCAAUGUUGUGUUUGUGACUAUCGGUUGAAAAAUGACCACAAUUCAUGGUCACAACCUGACGGAUUAGACGUCGUAAAAAAGUAUGUUUCGAUGUUAGGUUUGUGUUGUAGAAUAUUGGUUGGGAAAUCACCAAAUUUCAACGGUUAAAUCAAGGUCACAACCUGAUAUUGAAUAAACAUUCAAAAGCAUGUUUAUUCAAUGUUGUAUUUGUGACUAUCGGUUGAAAAAUUACCAAAAUUCAUGGUCAACUUAAGGUCACAACCUGACAGGUUAGACGUCGUUAAAAAGUAUGUUUCGAUGUUAGGUUUGUGUUGUAGAAUAUUGGUUGGGAAAUGACCAAAUUUCUACGGUUAAAUCAAGGUCGCAACCUGACAUUGUAUAAACAUUCAAAAACAUGUUGUUUCAACGUUGUUUUUGUGACUAUCGUUUGAAAAAUGACCACAAUUCAUGGUCAAUUUAAGGUCACAACCUGACACAGAUUAGACAUCGUAAAAAAGUAUGUUUCGAUGUUAGGUUUGUGUUGUAGAAUAUUGGUUGGGAAAUCACCAAAUUUCAACGGUUAAAUCAAGGUCACAACCUGACAUUGUAUAAACAUUCAAAAGCAUGUUGUUUCAAUGUUGUUUUUGUGACUAUCAGUUGAAAAAUGACCACAAUUCAUGGUCAACUUAAGGUCACAACCAGACAUAGAUUAGACGUCGUAAAAAAGUAGGUUUUAAUGUUAGGUUUGUGUUGUAGAAUAUCGGUUGGGAAUUGACCACAUUUCUACCGUUAAAUCAAGGUCACAACCUGACAUUGAAUAAACAUUCAAAAGCAUGUUUCAACGUUGUGUUUGUGACUAUUGGUUGAAAAAUGACCACAAUUCAUGGUCAACUUAAGGUCACAACCAGACAUAGAUUAGACGUCGUAAAAAUGUAGGUUUUAAUGUUAGGUUUGUGUUGUAGAAUAUCGGUUGGGAAAUUACCAAAUUUCUACCGUUAAAUCAAGGUCACAGCCUGACAUUGAAUAAACAUUCAAAGCAUGUUGUUUCAAUGUUGUUUUUGUGACUAUUGGUUGAAAAAUGACCAAAAUUCAUGGUCAAUUUAGGGUCACAACCUGACAUAGAUUAGACGUCGUAAAAAAAUAGGUUUUAAUGUUAGGUUUGUGUUGUAGAAUAUCGGUUGGGAAUUGACCACAUUUCUACCGUUAAAUCGAGGUCACAACCUGACAUUGAAUAAACAUUCAAAAGCAUGUUGUUUUUGUGACUAUUGGUUGAAAAAUGACCACAAUUCAUGGUCAACUCAAGGUCACAACCAGACAGAUUAGACGUCGUAAAAAAGUAUGUUUCGAUGUUAGGUUUGUGUUGUAGAAUAUUGGUUGGGAAAUCACCAAAUUUUAACGGUUAAAUCAAGGUCACAACCUGACAUUGUAUAAACAUCGCAAAAAAGCAUGUUUCGGUAGGUUUGUGUUGUAGAACAUCGGUUAUAAAACGACUAAAAUUCAACGGUCAACUCAAAGUCACAACCUGACAUUGAUUAAACAUUGCAAAAAAGCAUGUUUCGUUAGGUUUGUGUUGUAGAAUAUUUGUUUAAAAAUGACCAAAACUCAAUGGUCCAACCAACGUCACAACCCAACGUUAAUUAAACGUUGCCAAAAAGCAUGUUGUUUCAUUAUUAGGUUUGUGUUGGAGAAUAUUGGUUGGGAAAUGACCAAAAUUCAAUGGUCAAAGUAACGUCACAACCCAACGUUGAUUAAACGUCGCCAAAAAGCAGGUUUAACGUUAGGUUUGUGUUGGAGAACAUCGGUUAUAAAAUGACCAAAAUUCAAUGGUCAACUCAAGGUCAUAACCUGACAUUGAUUAAACAUUGCAAAAAAUGAUGUUUCAACGUUAGGUUUGUGUUAUAGAUUAUGGGUUGGGAAAUGACCAAAUUUCAACAAUUAAAUCAACAUCACAACCUGACAUUGAAUAAACAUUCAAAACCAUGUUGUUUGUGUUGUAGAAUAUUGGUUGAAAAAUGACGAAAUUCAAUGGUCAACUCAAAGUCACAACCUGACAUUUAUUAAACAUCGCAAAAAAGCAUGUUUCGGUAGGUUUGUGUUGUAGAACAUCGGUUAUAAAACGACUAAAAUUCAACAGUCAACUCAAAGUCACAACCUGACAUUGAUUAAACAUCGCAAAAAAGCAUGUUUUGUUAGGUUUGUGUUGUAGAAUAUUGGUUUAAAAAUGACCAAAACUCAAUGGUCAAACCAACGUCACAACCCAACGUUAAUUAAACGUUGCCAAAAAGCAUGUUGUUUCAAUGUUAGGUUUGUGUUGGAGAACAUUGGUUGAAAAAUGACGAAAUUAAAUGGUCAACUCAAGGUCACAACCUGAUAUUGAUUAAACAUAGCAAAAAAGCAUGUUUCGUUAGGUUUGUGUUGUAGAACAUCGGUUAUAAAAUGACCAAAAUUCCACAGUCAACUCAAAGUCACAACCUGACAUUGAUUUAACAUCGCAAAAAAGCAUGUUUCGCUAGGUUUGUGUUGUAGAAUAUUGGUUUAAAAAUGACCAAAAUUCAAUGGUCCAACCAACGUCACAACCUGACAUUGAUUAAACAUUGCAAAAAAGUAUGUUGUUUCAACGUUAGGUUUGUGUUGUAGAUUAUGGGUUGGGAAAUCACCAAAUUUCAACAAUUAAAUCAACAUCACAACCUGACAUUGAAUAAAAAUUCAAAAGCAUGUUUGUUUUGUAGAAUAUUGGUUGAAAAAUGACGAAAUUCAAUGGUCAACUCAAGGUCACAACCUGACAUUGAUUAAACAUCGCAAAAAAGCAUGUUUCGUUAGGUUUGUGUUGUAGAACAUCGGUUAUAAAACGACUAAAAUUCAACGGUCAACUCAAAGUCACAACCUGACAUUGAUUAAACAUCGCAAAAAAGCAUGUUUCGUCAGGUUUGUGUUGUAGAAUAUUGGUUUAAAAAUGACCAAAACUCAAUGGUCAAACCAACGUCACAACCCAACGUUAAUUAAACGUUGCCAAAAAGCAUGUUGUUUAAAUGUUAGGUUUGUGUUGUAGAACAUUGGUUGAAAAAUGACGAAAUUCAAUGGUCAACUCAAGGUCACAACCUGACAUUGAUUAAACAUAGCAAAAAAGCAUGUUUCGUUAGGUUUGUGUUGUAGAACAUCGGUUAUAAAAUGACCAAAAUUCCACGGUCAACUCAAAGUCACAACCUGACAUUGAUUUAACAUCGCAAAAAAGCAUGUUUCGCUAGGUUUGUGUUGUAGAAUAUUGGUUUAAAAAUGACCAAAAUUCAAUGGUCCAACCAACGUCACAACCUGACAUUGAUUAAACAUUGCAAAAAAGUAUGUUGUUUCAACGUUAGGUUUGUGUUGUAGAUUAUGGGUUGGGAAAUCACCAAAUUUCAACAAUUAAAUCAACAUCACAACCUGACAUUGAAUAAAAAUUCAAAAGCAUGUUUGUUUUGUAGAAUAUUGGUUGAAAAAUGACGAAAUUCAAUGGUCAACUCAAGGUCACAACCUGACAUUGAUUAAACAUCGCAAAAAAGCAUGUUUCGUUAGGUUUGUGUUGUAGAACGUCGGUUAUAAAACGACCAAAAUUCAACGGUCAACUCAAAGUCACAACCUGACAUUGAUUAAACAUCGCAAAAAAGCAUGUUUCGUUACGUUUGUGUUGUAGAAUAUUGGUUUAAAAAUGACCAAAACUCAAUGGUCAAACCAACGUCACAACCCAACGUUAAUUAAACGUUGCCAAAAAGCAUGUUGUUUCAACGUUAGGUUUGUGUUGGAGAACAUCGGUUAUAAAAUGACCAAAAUUCAAUGGUCAACUCAAGGUCACAACCCAACGUUGAUUUAAUGUCGCAAAAAAGCAUGUUUCGGUAGGUUUGUGUUGUAGAACGUCGGUUAUAAAACGACCAAAAUUCAACGGUCAACUCAAAGUCACAACCUGACAUUGAUUAAACAUCGCAAAAAAGCAUGUUUCGUUACGUUUGUGUUGUAGAAUAUUGGUUUAAAAAUGACCAAAAUUCAACGGUCAACUCAAAGUCACAACCUGACAUUGAUUAAACAUCGCAAAAAAGCAUGUUUCGCUAGGUUUGUGUUGUAGAAUAUUGGUUUAAAAAUGACCAAAAUUCAAUGGUCCAACCAACGUCACAACCUGACAUUGAUUAAACAUUGCAAAAAAGUAUGUUGUUUCAACGUUAGGUUUGUGUUGUAGAUUAUGGGUUGGGAAAUCACCAAAUUUCAACAAUUAAAUCAACAUCACAACCUGACAUUGAAUAAAAAUUCAAAAGCAUGUUUGUUUUGUAGAAUAUUGGUUGAAAAAUGACGAAAUUCAAUGGUCAACUCAAGGUCACAACCUGACAUUGAUUAAACAUCGCAAAAAAGCAUGUUUCGUUAGGUUUGUGUUGUAGAACAUCGGUUAUAAAACGACUAAAAUUCAACGGUCAACUCAAAGUCACAACCUGACAUUGAUUAAACAUCGCAAAAAAGCAUGUUUCGUCAGGUUUGUGUUGUAGAAUAUUGGUUUAAAAAUGACCAAAACUCAAUGGUCAAACCAACGUCACAACCCAACGUUAAUUAAACGUUGCCAAAAAGCAUGUUGUUUAAAUGUUAGGUUUGUGUUGUAGAACAUUGGUUGAAAAAUGACGAAAUUCAAUGGUCAACUCAAGGUCACAACCUGAUAUUGAUUAAACAUUGCAAAAAAGCAUGUUUCGUUAGGUUUGUGUUGUAGAACAUCGGUUAUAAAACAACCAAAAUUCAAUGGUCAACUCAAAGUCACAACCUGACAUUGAUUAAACAUCGCAAAAAAGCAUGUUUCGCUAGGUUUGUGUUGUAGAAUAUUGGUUUAAAAAUGACCAAAACUCAAUGGUCCAACCAACGUCACAACCUGACAUUGAUUAAACAUCGCAAAAAAGCAUGUUUCGUUAGGUUUGUGUUGUAGAAUAUUGGUUUAAAAAUGACCAAAACUCAAUGGUCAAACCAACGUCACAACCCAACGUUAAUUAAACGUUGCCAAAAAGCAUGUUGUUUCAACGUUAGGUUUGUGUUGGAGAACAUCGGUUAUAAAAUGACCAAAAUUCAAUGGUCAACUCAAGGUCACAACCCAACGUUGAUUUAAUGUCGCAAAAAAGCAUGUUUCGGUAGGUUUGUGUUGUAGAACGUCGGUUAUAAAACGACCAAAAUUCAACGGUCAACUCAAAGUCACAACCUGACAUUGAUUAAACAUCGCAAAAAAGCAUGUUUCGUUACGUUUGUGUUGUAGAAUAUUGGUUUAAAAAUGACCAAAAUUCAACGGUCAACUCAAGGUCACAACCUGACAUUGAUUAAACAUCGCAAAAAAGCAUGUUUCGUUAGGUUUGUGUUGUAGAAUAUUGGUUUAAAAAUGACCAAAACUCAAUGGUCAAACCAACGUCACAACCCAACGUUAAUUAAACGUUGCCAAAAAGCAUGUUGUUUAAAUGUUAGGUUUGUGUUGGAGAACAUUGGUUGGGAAAUGACCAAAAUUCAACGGUCAAACCAACGUCACAACACUGAUUAUGAUUAAACGUUGCCAAAAAGCAUGUUGCUCCAACGUUUUGUUCGAGUUUCUCAACGUCAGGACCUAAUCCAACAAGUUCCCAACGUUAUUUCAAUGUCUGCUGCCUGCCGGGUUGCUCUGCUUGUACGUGUAGACAGUAAGCCCACCUAGACAAUAAAGGAAGGAUUACGUUGUAUUCUGCAAAUGUUUGUUCUCUUCCCUCUUUAGGCUGAAACCUUUCAAACGAGUCUGAGCAACUUACCUUGUAAUUGAUUGUGUCAUUUGUACCUAAUGUAUGAUAAUGCAAAUAAAAAACUGAAAAUGGAGGUUCA